rnacentral:rRNA from 1 species
UACAGAGGGUGCGAGCGUUAAUCGGAAUUACUGGGCGUAAAGCGCACGUAGGCGGCUUGGUAUGUCGGGUGUGAAAUCCCCGGGCUCAACCUGGGAACUGCAUCCGAAACUGCCUUGCUCGAGUAUGGGAGAGGGAAGUGGAAUUUCCGGUGUAGCGGUGAAAUGCGUAGAUAUCGGAAGGAACAUCAGUGGCGAAGGCGACUUCCUGGACCAAUACUGACGCUGAGGCGCGAAGGCUAGGGGAGCGAACGGG